CUGGCCGCGGCGGCAGGCCGCCCUCCGCCCACCUCGCGCCGACGCCAGCGGCACCAGCCCCGCGGCCCCGCGGCACAGUCACAGCAAUGGAGAACCUGAAUGUCUCGCUCCCAGAUCUUACYGAAGACCUGCAAGACAUUUUUCAGGGGGCUUUUGCUGCUGAUGCCAGUUACUUGGAGAACCAUGAGRAAAUGGAUCAGUCCUUCUGGGAAGCUCUCGUAAAAUGUUUAGCCACCGCUGACCCAGCUAUCCUGAAUACCGAAGAAGAAAACAAUUUGCUCAACAGAUGCACUGUCCUGCCUGGAGGCUSUGCAGCCUGCCUGAAAGUCAUAGGGAAGAAAGGAGCCAGGGCAAUGGCUCUUCUUUACCUGUUGCUGAAGACAACYGACCCGUCUGAAUACAGGCAGCUGCCCAGCUCCAAGGGAAAGGGUGAGUCCUG
rnacentral:lncRNA from 1 species